UCAAUUAAUCAGCUGUAAUAAUGCUAUUACAUUGAGUGACAUGAGUGUAACUUCCUGUAGUGUUUCCUGUUUACAAGGCACAGGCACACUUCCAGCUAUCAGCACAUCAGAGAAUAAACUACAAAGAGAAAUAUUAAGAGCACUGACCUGAGAAAGCAACAUGGACAAAUCACUACUUCUGAUUCUCAUUAUCACCACUGAAAUAAUGGCUGACAAAAUUUAUCCUGAUCGGGACGAUGUCAAUCACCCAGAAGGAAUGAAACAAGUGACCCUGGAAUGUUCAUAUGAGUUGAACAGCCGUGGUGUUGUGCUUCACUGGUACAGACAGUACUCCAAUCAGGCACCACAAUGGCUUCUAUUCAAAGGUGCUCGAUCAUCCAAAGCUUUCAAAAGUUCUAACCCACGAUUUACCUCUAACACUGGUGAAACGUUUACUGAACUCAUCUUUGAAGAUCUGACACUGGCAGACACAGCUCUCUACUACUGUGCUCUCGAGGCACACAGUGAUACAAAGACUCUGAGAAGCUGUACAAAAACUCACAUUUUAAAUAGGAUGUUAUUCUUUCAGAGAUCAAAGCAAUUUCCUCCCAAUGCUCUGAUAUCAGUUUAA